AUAAUCAUUUGCCUCUUAAUUAGAGGCUAGUAUGAAUGGACAAACGUGAGUCAAGCUGUCUCUUCUCUAUAAAUAAAAAUUAAUCUUUAGGUGAAAAAGCCUAAAUUCUAUAAAAAGACAAAAAGACCCUAUUGAGUUUUAUUACAUAAGCUUUAACCUAUAAUAAAAUAAAUUUCUCAAGUCAAAAGUAAUUUAGUUGGGGCGACAAAAGAAGAUCUAAAUCUUCUUUAAAUCAAUUAGAAUACACUUCAUUUAUUUUGAUCCAUUUUAUAUGAUUAACGAAGUUAGCUACCCUAGGGAUAACAGGCUAAUUUUCUUUGAGAGCCCAAAUUGACAAGAAAGAUUGG
rnacentral:rRNA from 1 species